GGUAUCUCUGAGGUUUCAGUGUUGCCUUUAGGCGCUCAACAAACACUAGCCUACUCAGCUUGAGACGGAUCCCGAACUCGAGCUUCCUUGAUAGCCAAGUGGUUUAAAGUUUAAGCUUCAGACAAACAUUUGAACAUUAUUACAUCCUAGUCCAAACAUCCCGCAGGACAGUCUGCAGAGCCCAUGCCACAAUAAGGCAACCAUCCGUGCAUCUCACAAAAGUCUGUAAUGGACUGCAUGGAUCGUUGUAAGCAACACAUCUUGAAGCUGGUUAUAUGGCUGCUUGAUCGUGUGGAUGUCAGAUGCCAAGAAUCUAUUAUCUCAAUCAGAAAGUUUGCCAGAUUGACUUCAUUAAUCUCAGAGAGUGGUGAAGUACGAGGUGCAUGCAGCACUGUCAGAAGAGUAGGAAUGAAAGCUUCUUCAAUGACUACUUGGUGAGCACUGUGUUGAAAUAAACAGACAAUGUUAGACAAAUAGACAUUCUUUUGAUAUGUAUGUUAGCAAUGUCAAAUUUUGUAAGCUUUCUUGAUUUUUAAAACAAAUUUUUUUUCUUAGAUGCAUUGAAAUGUUGAAAAAUUGUGUACAAGUUUUUGAAAAUGAUAAGAUUUUGUUAUAACUAAUUUUUCCAAUAAAAGAACAUAUGUAAACAUUUUGAUAUUGUUAUGUACACUGUUAGAUGUGGCUAAAUAUAAAAACGACCAAUAAAUAGAUUUUUGUCCAAA